UGGUGGAGUGACUUGUCUGCUUAAUUGCGAUAACGAGCGAGACCUUACUCUGCUAAAUAGCCAGGCUAGCUUUGGCUGGUCGCCGGCUUCUUAGAGAGACUAUCAACUCAAGUUGAUGGAAGUUUGAGGCAAUAACA
rnacentral:rRNA from 1 species